UGUGAUGUGGUGAGAGCAGUGA
rnacentral:piRNA from 1 species